GAGGGUAUAGCUCAGUGGUGGAGUGUGUGUUUAGUAUGCAUGAGGUCCUGGGUUCAAUCCCCAGUACCUCCA
rfam:Camelus ferus unplaced genomic scaffold scaffold1394, whole genome shotgun sequence.